GGUUACGAUCAUACCAGCACUAAUGCACCGGAUCCCAUCAGAACUCCGCAGUUAAGCGUGCUUUGGCGAGAGUAGUACUAGGAUGGGUGACCCCCUGGGAAGUCCUCGUGUUGCAACCC
rnacentral:rRNA from 1 species